rnacentral:rRNA from 1 species
AGUGAACGCUGGCGGUAGGCCUAACACAUGCAAGUCGAACGGCAGCACAGUAAGAGCUUGCUCUUACGGGUGGCGAGUGGCGGACGGGUGAGGAAUACAUCGGAAUCUACUUUUUCGUGGGGGAUAACGUAGGGAAACUUACGCUAAUACCGCAUCCGACCUACGGGUGAAAGCAGGGGAUCUUCGGACCUUGCGCGAUUGAAUGAGCCGAGGUCGGAUUAGCUAGUUGGCGGGGUAAAGGCCCACCAAGGCGACGAUCCGUAGCUGGUCUGAGAGGAUGAUCAGCCACACUGGAACUGAGACACGGUCCAGACUCCUACGGGAGGCAGCAGUGGGGAAUAUUGGACAAUGGGCGCAAGCCUGAUCCAGCCAUACCGCGUGGGUGAAGAAGGCUUUCGGGUUGUAAAGCCCUUUUGUUGGGAAAGAAAAGCAGCAGGUUAAUACCCCGCUGUUCUGACGGUACCCAAAGAAUAAGCACCGGCUAACUUCGUG